AAGAAGGCUGCAGAAACAGUGGUCUUGGUGUGUUGAGUAUUAGAUAGCUCAGCUGCUUGAAGGUUUUGGAGAUAGUAUGCUACUGGAUUUCACUGCCUUCGAGUAAAAACUUGCAAUUUUCUUUGUGAAAUGCACGUGUGGCAUUCACCUAAAGAACCAGAAAAAGCAAUGAAGUGAAGUCAAAGGGAGUACAAUAGCUCGCCAUUCCAGACCUUCUCCUUUGGACUAUGAUAGCUGGCGUAAAGUGCCUUACAAGAAGGAAUAUGGAAGUACGUUCAGAAAAGGUGCAUAGUUCCCGAGGAAGACAAAAGAUGGGAUUUGAAAACUAUCGGAGAUAAAUGCAGAUAGAAGAAUAAUUAUUACAAGUUCAAGACCGAUUUUGGUGAACAUUUUUUGUUUGUGAUGUAAUGGAUGGAUGGAAUAUUUUUUGAUUUUGCAUUUUAUGAAUAUUUUCCGUUUUUU